ensembl:snoRNA small nucleolar RNA SNORA41
UUCCACAGCUACUGGUGUGCAGCUAGCUGUUCUUAUGGAGGCAGUUAAGGCAUUCCUCUGUGAGGAAAAAAUUGUUACAUGAUUAAACACCUCUUUCUUAGCAAAACAGAAAGUGGGCAUAUGUGUGACAAACAGAA